rnacentral:rRNA from 1 species
UCCGUAGGCGGGCAAUUAAGUCAGAGGUGAAAUCCCACAGCUCAACUGUGGAACUGCCUUUGAUACUGGUUGUCUUGAGUUGCAGUGAAGUAGAUAGAAUAUGUAGUGUAGCGGUGAAAUGCAUAGAUAUUACAUAGAAUACCGAUUGCGAAGGCAGUCUACUAACUGUCGACUGACGCUAAGGGACGAAAGCGUGGGGAGCGAACAGGAUUAGAUACCCUGGUAGUCC